CAUUUGCCAAGCGCGUCUUCAUUAAUCAAGAACGAAAGUCAGAGGUUCGAAGGCGAUCAGAUACCGCCCUAGUUCUGACCGUAAACGAUGCCAACUAGCGAUCCGCCGGUGGCUCUAAGGCCCUGGUGGGGAGCUUCCCGGAAACGAAAGUCUUCCGGUUCCGGGGGAAGUAUGGUUGCAAAGCUGAAACUUAAAGGAAUUGACGGAAGGGCACCACCAGGAGUGGAGCCUGCGGCUUAAUUUGACUCAACACGGGAAAACUCACCCGGCCCGGACACCGUGAGGAUUGACAGAUUGAUAGCUUUUUCAUGAUUCGGUGGUUGGUGGUGCAUGGCCGUUCUUAGUUCGUGGAUCGAUUUGUCUGGUUUAUUCCGAUAACGAGCGAGACUCCAGCCUACUAACUAGUACGGGCAUUGCCUUUGUGCCCGGCACUUCUUAGAGGGAUUGGCUGCGUCUAGCGGCACGAAACGGAGCAAUAACAGGUCUGUGAUGCCCUUAGAUGUCCGGGGCUGCACGCGCGCUACACUGGCAAAAGCAGCGUGCUUGUCCUUCUCCGAAAGGAGCGGGUAAACCCUUGAAAAUUUGCCGUGAUUGGGAUCGGAAAUUGCAAUUAUUUUCCGUGAACGAGGAAUUCCUAGUAAGUGCGAGUCAUCAGCUCGCGUUGAUUACGUCCCUGCCCUUUGUACACACCGCCCGUCGCUGCCUAGAACUGAGCCAUUUCGAGAAUAUUCGGGAUCGCUGGUUGCGCGCUCUUCGGGGCACGCCUCCGGCCAGAGAACGAACGUAAUCGCAGUGGCUUGAACCGGGCAAAAGU
rnacentral:rRNA from 1 species